GCGCCUGUAGCUCAAUUGGAUAGAGCGUCAGACUACGGAUCUGAAGGUUAAAGGUUCGACUCCUUUCAGGCGCACCA
rnacentral:tRNA from 1 species